GAUGAAGAACGCAGCGAAAUGCGAUAAGUAAUGUGAAUUGCAGAAUUCAGUGAAUCAUCGAAUCUUUGAACGCACAUUGCGCCCGCCAGCAUUCUGGCGGGCAUGCCUGUUCGAGCGUCAUUUCAACCCUCGACCUCCCUUUGGGGAAGUCGGCGUUGGGGACCGGCAGCACACCGCCGGCCCUGAAAUGGAGUGGCGGCCCGUCCGCGGCGACCUCUGCGUAGUAAACCAACUCGCACCGGAACCCCGACGUGGCCACGCCGUAAAACACCCAACUUCUGAACGUUGACCUCGAAUCAGGUAGGACUACCCGCUGAACUUAAGCAUAUCAAUAAGCGGAGGA
rnacentral:misc_RNA from 1 species